rnacentral:rRNA from 1 species
CAGCAGCCGCGGUAAUACGGAGGGUGCAAGCGUUAAUCGGAAUCACUGGGCGUAAAGCGCACGUAGGCGGCUUGGUAAGUCAGGGAUGAAAUCCCACAGCCCAACUGUGGAACUGCCUUUGAUACUGCCAGGCUUGAGUACCGGAGAGGGUGGCGGAAUUCCAGGUGUAGGAGUGAAAUCCGUAGAUAUCUGGAGGAACACCGGUGGCGAAGGCGGCCACCUGGACGGUAACUGAUGCUGAGGUGCGAAAGCGUGGGUAGCAAACAGGAUUAGAUACCCUGGUAGUCCACGCUGUAAACGAUGGGUGCUGGGUGCUGGGAUGUAUGUCUCGGUGCCGUAGCUAACGCGAUAAGCACCCCGCCUGGGGAGU